rfam:Schistosoma mansoni strain Puerto Rico chromosome W, complete genome
AUUCAGCUGACGAGUCCCAAAUAGGGCGAAACACGCCUUCUGGAU